rnacentral:lncRNA from 1 species
ACUUCUUUUUUUUUUUUUUUUUUUUUUUUUUAUAAAAAUACCGAAGGGGUUGACUUCACAAGCUGUUGCAAUGUUGAAAAUAGUUGAAUUUCUUGCUAACAAUGAUGGCAUUUUCCUUUCCAAAAUGUAUCUUAAUCAAUUGUUACCAAGAUUUGAUCCUAUAAUUAUGCAUGUCAAUGUCUAGUGAUGGUAAAUCGGUCUGCACUCUUGUAUUCCUAAACAAAGUCGUUACCAAGGAGGAAAAAAAACAAGAUUCAUGGUGUUUUUGUUUCUUAUUUUUGAAAUUUACGAGUUGGGAUUUAAAAACCAUAUAGAGAUUGAUCUUGAAUAAAACCCAGAUUUUUGUCGAAACAGAAAGGUUUGGUUUCUCAAGAACAUUAAACAUUAAUUGAAGAAUAUUGGUAGCACAAUCUCACGAUCUUGAUCUUCCUUUGUGGAGCCACCAAUGCCAAGUGUUAAAAAUAAGCACGUCAUAACCCCUCCAUGCAUCCCCAUUUUGUAUGGAGUCAAGCUUCAGAAUUCUUCUGUUAUUCUCUUCCACCAAAUCCACCAGAAAUGCGUUACGAGAUAGCAUCAAAGAAACAUCAUAUUCCUGCCAUCAUUCACGUAAUGUGGAUUAAUUAAUUAAUCAAUGGAAGAGUCUGCUUUUCUUGCACUAAAUGAUCAAAGCUAAAAAGGCAUGCAUGAGAUCAAAAAUUAAUAGAUGAGCCUACAUAAAAUCAGAGAAACUCACCCUGAAAGUAAAAGUAGAGAGGUUGCCUUUCUUUUGAAGAUUGUAAUUUGAUUGGGGCAGAGCUGCGUGCAACAUGCAUGCAAGGGACUGCCAUUGAUUGAGGCUCAGUGAAUCCCCUACGAACAAUAUCUUCUUCCCUCUAAAUUUCCUCAAGAAAUGUGGAGCAUUAAAUCUGCAUUUAAAAAAAAAAACAUGAAGGUUACAUUCUUGGCCUUCCUUAUCUAAUUAUCAAAUUAAAUGUCAAACUUAAAAAUGGUACUAAAUGUGAUCACCACAAAAAUAAAACACUUUUAUAGUUGAAACAUUAAAUUUUUUUUUUUGGGUUUUUUGGAAUUGGCGAUCAUCAAGCCGGGAUGGGAUGAGGAUUUAAAAUUCAACAUCUAUUUUGUGCUUAGUGCACGUAACGCCUUACCAACUGUGCUAACUCUUACAACAAAAGAUAUCCCUUUCUCCUUGGGUAUACUAUUCUACAAACCGUAAACUAUAAUGAAACGUACUGAGGCAAUUCACAUCGGUUGGGCUUCCAUUUGAACUUGAGAUAGAGUUGAUCAGGGCGGCCAUUUCCCUGGCAAUCAAAUGGCUUCUCGAUGAAUGGACAAGAAGACGCAUUGUAAAGGGGAUAUGUGUCAUCGUAGCUCCAACUUCCUUGGAAGAUAUCGCAGCCGCUGCUAAUUGAUUCUGAUGAUCUCUUAGAGUUAUGAGAAAGCUCUAGCAACAAGGCAUUGGAUGAUUGUUGAACAAAUAUGACAAAAAGACAUAUAAUUAGAAGAAAAGUAUUCACAGAACGAAAUUGACCACUUCCCAUCUUGUGAGAAGAAAAGGAGUGAGAUGAGGUGAGGGAACUUAAGGGAGAAUGCAGCAUGAUGAAGCUUUUAAUGAAGAAAACAAAGGCCAUAUAAGAUGAGUUUGAUAGGCUGUUAGUUGGUGCCUGGUGGUGUUUGAGUUGUUAGAUUGAAUGGCUUGGGGAGGGGAAAUCUGCAAUUUUUUUUUUUUUUUAUUGGUUUGGGGUUGAUUCCCCAGCCUGUUUUGCUCCUUUUGGCAGCUGAACUUAUUGGUGGGAGCUGUGUCCUUGCAGUGGAGUAUACUCCUUUUUAUCCAUCAUUCCUCCUCCAUGAUUGUUUCAGUUUCAAAUCUAGUCUUCUACGGAAAGCCUUCUUUCCUCUAUUUCCGGUUUGCUUGCUCAAAGAAACAAGGGAGGCCCAAAGCUUGUUGAAACAAUGGCAACAACAUCGCUAAGAUAAAAAACAGAUGACAAUUAAUAUCGGUUUCGUCUGGAAGGUAACGGGUUCGAAACCUUAAAGUUGUGAAGUUAAUGUUAUAUUCCUGUUCUGUUUCUUCAUUAUUCAGUUUAAAGCUAGUUAAUUUGACACCACAUUUAUUGUUUCUGUAGUUCUUUUACAUACUUUUGUUUGAUCAUAAUUUUGCCUGUUACAUUAGCCAGAAGUUUGACUGUUACACUUUAACAUGAAAAUGGGGUCCCAUAUUUCUCCUAAUUACGAAGGCAUAUAAUAUGCUGUUUGUGGUUUGACCCGUAAUGAAACCCCCGGUGUUGAAUAAUAUUCAUGGAGGGGGGAAAAAUGGCAGAAGUAGCUAGGAAACGACUAACUACACCGUUUGGAUUGCUGUUUUAUGGAGUUUUUAUAGAAAAAUAUACUAUAAUGAUUUGCUGUAUGUGAGGUAAAAAAAUGAAUUUACGAAAAUUUUUUUGAGAAAAAUAACAAUCCAAACCAAAAAAAGGGAUAUUUGACUAUCUAAAUAAAAAAAAUGUACCGUAAUGAAUUGAUAUAUGAACAUCCGAUCACCAAAAAAAAAAGGAGAUAUCUACUAAAAUUUGCAAAAGACAAAUAUGAUGCUAAUCUUUUGUCAAGUCAUACCCACCGAGCAUUAUUGCAGUAACUUUCACUGGUCCCAUGCAUACGUAGACUACAUAAUGUAACAUCUAAGUAAGGAAGAAAACAAAUUAUCCAAAUGUGACUCAAUCAAUUCAACUAAAAAACUAGUUCUACUUCUCCAUGAAAUAUACUGUAUGUUUGCAUAGAAUAGCAACAUUACAUAGACGUUCUUGCAUGAUCAUGUUCAAUCAAACUUGUAUUUCUACUAUUAAUUUUUAGUCCAAAUUUAUUGUAGUAAGAAUGAUAUGAUAUCAAAAUGGCUAAUGGCUACUGAAGUAAUCAAAGAAUAAGAAGAUUGUAGAGUAGCAGAUUCCAGGUAUCAGGAACUCCAGGAAGACACCAGUGGCUGCAGUCCAUUCCCCCAGUGGCUGCGCCAAGCCCAUAAAUAGAAGGAUGUCCAUCUUUUCGCAGCAGCGAAAGGUUUGUAAUAUCCAGCAAUUUCACUGGCUUCUUUAUUGUGUUGAGUACUCUCUUUAGCACUGUUAGAGCUGGUGGUAGUCCUGCUGGAUAUCUUGAGCCCACCACCGGCUCUUUCUGUCUCACGCAACUUUUGGCCGUCGGUUCAUUCCAAUCAGUUCCACUUUACAUUAUUAAUCAAAGACCGUUUUCAAUUGGCAAAACAAGAUAGUUAGAUUAAGAAUGUAAAGUGACAAAUUCAAGACUGCAUUUUUAGACUAUGACCCUCCAAAAUAUGCUACUCAAUUGGCAAAAUCGUAAAUUACUUAGUAAAGCUAAAUCAAGAUUUCUGAAAUUUCUAAACUGAUACAUGCAUAUGUUUGGCAGCUUCUUCUGGGAUUUCCAUUAGAAAUACUUACUUGUAGUGUGAGGGAGAAAUUCCUUGGAAGAAAACAGUAGUUUUGGCAGGAUCAAUAUUGUCAUCCACCCACUUAGCCCAAGUAUUGAGUGCCAUCUCGAAGGCAACCAUCCGAUCCAUGUCUUUGAAUGUCUGAUUUCCAACUCGAAUGUAAUCCCAUCUGAGCAGUAUAUUUUCACAAAUGACAUAAAUUUCAUCAAUGUUUUGUGUUUGCUCAUCAUUUAUCACAGAAUAGUCGAACACCAUGGAGUAUAUUGUAUGAACUUACGGUUGUCCUUCACCUCUACGGUUCCACCAAUGCCAUGUGUUAAAGAUUAUUACGUCUAAGCCUUUCCACAGCUUUCCACCCUCAAUUGAAUCUAGGUUUAGUAUCCUGCCAGUUUUUUCCAUCACAACAUCUACCAGGUACACAUUUCUGUCUAGCAUAAUUUUUACUCCAAAAUCCUGCAACAUACAUGUAUUUACCAAGGGAAAAAAAAUCCAAAUGUGAUUCAAAAACAACACUUAAAAAUAAUUAAAAUAUGAUUAGCAAUCACAUGAGAGGUUGGCUAAAAUGAAUAUUCACUGCAGAAAUAAAGAAAAUGCAACUUUCCUUUAAAUUUGGAUCGCUAUUUUCCACCAAAAUUUUUUUGGGUUUUCCGUAAACACAUUUUCAUUUGCCUUUUUUACCUUACAUGUAUCAAAUUAUUGUAAUCUGCAAAAAUAAGGAAAAUGCAAAUUUCCUUUAAAUUUGGAGUGCAAUUUUCCACCAAAAAAUUUUUGGAUUCUCCGUGAGCCUGUUUUUCAAUUACCGUUUUAUCUUACAUACAUCAAAUCAUUACAGUAUAUUUUUCUAUAAAAUUUCCUAAAAAAACAAUCCAAACGGGUUCCAAGGCGAUAAAUACAUGUCGCCACAAGACAUACACUCCAAGAAAUUUUCUGGAUUAGUACACAUUCUAAGUCCCAAGUUCUGUACAUCACAAUUUUUUUUUUUGUUGCUAAAUUGGAAACCUCACUUAAUCAAAAGGAGACAAAUUUAAAGGGGUUGUCAGCUUGGGAUAAAGAUUAAAAUUCUGAGGAAUUAAAUUCAUCCCACAACCGCAUAUUAUUACAAGUUAAUAAUUGACUGAUUUAAUAAGAGGUUUCUGGCACCUAUAUUUAAUAUGGGCAUUUAACUGAUUUAAUAUGAGGUUUCUGGCACCUAUAUUAAUAGCCAAGGGUUAUGGGACAAGCAUGUGAUAAGAAAAAGACCCAUCUGGCAAUGCCAGCAUUUUCUUCUGUAAUUGAUGUCUGAUUUAAAUCAAUUCUUGCAGUCAUAUCCAGAAGACCAACUGUUCAUAUUGGACUUGGGAUGGAGGACCACAACAUUUCUUGUUUCCUUUAUUUUCUCAAUUUAGUAUUGUUGAGGUCCUUUAGUCAAAAUAGAAUUUCACGUGACAUUGGACAUUCCUUGAUCUUGAUCUGUACCAGUACCUCCUAUUACUGUUCUUAUACACACAUGAGUCGAUCCAAGAAACCCCAAAUUAUCUGAUGGGCAAAUUCAUUUUUACAUCAAUGAAAUCAUUAUUGAAAUUGUGGAUGAUGGAUGAUAAUUAUUAAUUCAUUCAGUCAAAUUGGUAAUUUACCAAAUUUGUUUCGUGAAAAUAAGAGCUUAUCCUAUCCAAUUGGAAAACUUCAAGAUAUAAUUGAAAAACUUUGAAUUUUUCAAGAAAGCAAAAUGCUGCAAUUGAAUAUGUCAUGUGAAUCAAGCAAUUACCAUGAAGGUGAAAAUGGAGACGUCUCCUACUCUGGUUUCAUUGUACUUUGUCCUACCGACGGAGGUGUAAAGCAUGCAAAUUAGUGAUUGCCACUGGUUUAGGCUCAAUGAAUCACCGACAAACAUGACGCUUUUCCCCUUGAAUUUCUGCAUGAACUCACGACCAUCAAAUCUGCAACCAACAAUGUCACAUUAUGAAUCACGAAUGACAUUAAGAAAAACAUGGCAAAAUUGAAUCAAAUAUUUGGACCGAAGCACUCAUGGUGUUUAAAGAGAAUCGACUUUUAUAUUCAAAAUUGUUACAGUAUAUUUUUGUACAAAAAUUUUAGAAAAUAACAAUCCAAACGGUCUCAUUUUAAUACAUUUUGUUUGUACUUAACGGGCUAGUAAUAUUCAAGGGAAGAAGUAUAAAAAAGGGAAGUGGAAUUGAUAAUUGUGGACCGAAAAAGAAUUGCUAGUGAGGUAAGAAAGUGAUGUUGUUGGUGACCCGAGAGUCGUCAAAUUGUUAUGAUUAGUUUAGCACCAAACUUGAUUAUGUUUUAGUAUGUGAUUCACAUUGAGCCAAGAAUUCCAAAACUGCGGCUAACAUAGGGCACAGGAAUAAUGCUACAAGACAUUCUACCUUGUAAGAUGUGAUUCAAUGAAUAAUAAUAACCUAUCUAAUUCAUUUCCUUCCCACGUGAAUAAGAGCCGGAAUUCACAAGGAUCCCAUCUCACCGUUCUCUACCUAUAAUCAAUGAGUAAUUUUUCUUGACAAGUAAUAUGCAAUUAGAUUAGACAAUAACCUUCAUUUUGUCCCACUAAUCUAACUCUUCUGGUAGAUAUAAGUUUGUUAAUCACCUAGUAUAGUAAUUUAUUUGCCUUUCUGUAAAUGCAGGGAGAGAAGAAUCCUAUAGCCAAUGGCUGUCAAGCAUUGGUUUAAUUGUUUUCUUGGAGAUUCCCAUCAGGUGAUCAUUGCUGUUACCACUUGAUUGGUGUUACACAAUAUAAGAGGUACAAUCACAAAAAAGUUUCUACCCUAAUCAAUCUUAUGGUCACAUGAGGCGCAUAACUCAUAUAGUGACAAUUUGGUUCUUGACAGUUGGGUCAUACAUAAUCUGCCUAACUAAACAACUCAAAACUAACAUGCCAUCUUAACUUACUUAAUCAAAGUUGGCAGAAAAAUUAGUGCAAGCAAUUAGAGGUAGAUUUAGAACUUAGCACUAUCCCAUGAAUACCAUGUAAUUACAUUCUUAAUUAGUUAUACUGAUUCAAACUGCAUAUGCCAACCCCAUUUCUCUAUGCUGAUGUACAAGAAAGGCAGGAUUAAGAUGAGCUAAUAAAUGGUCGACCUUUACUUAAUAUGUUGUGAGGAAGAAAUAUGGCACAUAUGGUUUUAAUAUUCUGCAGACUAAGUCUGAGCAGCUUUAUGGUGCUGCAGAAACUUAAUGAGCCACUGCACAGUAGUAGCGGUCUGUAAUGAUAAUACUGAAAGGGACAGCAACAAAACACCCAAAAUUUCAUAAAAGAUGGGAAAAGAAGACUAAUGAUCAGAGAUAUGCACAGGUAGAAGAGCUCAGACCUUGCUAAUUGGCAGUCCAGGGGUUGCCACCGGUAUUUAAGGUACAUUUGGUCGGGCCUGCCGUUCUUCAAGCAGUUGAAUUCUUUCUGUAU